rnacentral:lncRNA from 1 species
GGAUGGUUCUAGACAGGUGUUCAGUGUGUUAGUGUAUACUACCUACCUGGAUGGAUGGAUGGAUGGUUCUAGACAGGUGUUUAGUAUAUACUACCUACCUGGAUGGAUGGAUGGAUGGUUCUAGACAGGUGUUCAGUGUGUUAGUGUAUACUACCUGGAUGGAUGGUUCUAGACAGGUGUUCAGUGUGUUAGUGUAUACUACCUACCUGGAUGGAUGGAUGGAUGGUUCUAGACAGGUGUUCAGUGUGUUAGUGUAUACUACCUACCUGGAUGGAUGGUUCUAGACAGGUGUUUAGUAUAUACUACCUACCUGGAUGGAUGGUUCUAGAUAUUUGUUGAAUAGACAGCAUGGGUUCUCUUCCCCUAACCCCUGGUCUCAGGAACGAUUGGGUUAGUGUAUUGUUACAGCUGUGGGCGGACGACUAGCUAGCCGUUGACAGAAACAAAUUCACAGUAUAAUAGUCCACGGAUAAAGUAUCUACCACAGUACAGAUGAGCUAUUAUAAUAUUUAACCAUUUCUCAUUCUCUCACGUUAUGUGAUUAACCCCAAUAUACUGAACAAACAUAUAAACGCAACACUGAGUUAUAGUUCAUAAAAAAGGAAAUCCAGUCAAUUGAAAUAAAUGAAUUAGGCCAUAAUCUAUGGAUGUCACAUGACUGGGCAGGUUGCAGCCAUGGGUGGGCCUUGGUGGGCAAAGGCCCAACUGCUUGGCUGCCAGGCCCAGCCAAUCAGAAUGAGUAUACUCCUCAGCCCUCCCCCAGACGAUCCAUCAGAUGAAGAAGCCGGAAGUGGAGGUCCUGGGUUGGCGUGGUAACUUGUGGUCUCUGCGGUUGUGAGGCCGGUUGGAUGUACUGCCAAAUUCUCUAAAACGACGUUGGAGGAGGCUUAUGGUAGAGAUAUUAACAUUUAAUUAUCUGUAAACAGCUCUGGUGGACAUUCCUGUAGUCAGCAUGGCAAUUGCGCACUCCCUCAAAACAUCAGACAUCUGUGGCAUUGUGUUGCGUGACAAAACUUCACAUUUAAGUGGUCUUUUAUUAUCCCCAGCACAAGGUGCACCUGUGUAAUGAUCAUGAUGUUUGUUUUUCUUCUUGAUGUGCCACACCUGUCAGGUGGAUGGAUUAUUUUGGCAAAGGAGUAAUGCUCACUAACAGGGAUGUAAACGAAUUUGUGCACAACAUUUUAGAGAAAUCAGCUUUUUAUGCGUAUGGAACAUUUCUGGGAUCUUUUAUUUCAGCUCAUGAAACAUGGGACCAACACUUUACAUUUUGUGUUUUAUAUUUUUGUUCGGUGUAUUUAGGGGAGUUGAAUUAGGGGGACCAUUCAAACAGCUGCUGAGAUCACCGAGGUGGUCGAUCGUUCGGGACACUGCCCUAGUCUAACAGGCAAUGCACUAUAGAGCCAUCAGGUCUUAACAGGCUAGUUUCCAUAGGCAUGACCAAUCUAGGCAUUUUAAUUCUAUGGUAGUCUCUGCCACUCCCCAGCCAAUAAAAUUAAACCAAAUGACAUGCCUAUGGUAGUCUCUGCCACUCCCCAGCCAAUCAAAUUAAACCAAAUGACAUGCCUAUGGUAGUCUCUGCCACGCCCCAGCCAAUCAAAUUAAACCAAAUGACAUGCCUAUGGUAGUCUCUGCCACGCCCCAGCCAAUCAAAUUAAACCAAAUGACAUGCCUAUGGUAGUCUCUGCCACGCCCCAGCCAAUCAAAUUAAACCAAAUGACAUGCCUAUGGUAGUCUCUGCCACUCCCCAGCCAAUCAAAUUAAACCAAAU